UUUUUUUUUGAGUACCAGAAAUACUGAAGAACUGAAGGAUGGCGAGCCUUGCCCAGCAGAUCUGUAGACGGUAUUGGAUAUGGUGUGGCCUGCCAUAAAGACCUGCCACAGAGGACUUGGAUUUGCAGAUUCAUUCAUUCUGACAUAGAUAAGAAACACACACUAACCUACCCGGGUAGUAGUGUUAGAACUUGACAUUGAACACACACAUCUGGAUAUUUCCCCCAAGACUGAACUCUUUCUUGGAGGUUGAAUAUUUCCUCCUCAAUACAGAGAAGCUAUAGAGUUGGAACACCCAACUCAAAAAGGGACCUAAUUCUUUUGUUUAUUAUUUUAAUUAAUUUUUAUUAUUUUAAGGACUUAGAGCAAAUGUCUCAUACCGGUUCCACAGGGGGCCGAGUGUCUGCUGGUUUUCGCUCUCACCUUAAUUGACUAAUUAGGUCACUAAUUGGUUUGUUUCUACCCCCACCUGGUUGUUUAGGUCUGAACUGGGAACCAAUUUAAAGGAAAACCCAAAAACCUGCAGACACAUGGCCCGCCAUGGAACCAGUUUGAGACCUCUGACUUGAGUGAUGUGUCUCAUCUACCCAAUCAGGCUAAUGUUAUCUGCAAAUUGCCUUGGUAACCACUAAUUACGAGUGAGCUAUCCACUUUAAAACAAUGGAACAUAUAAAUGUUUUCAGUUUGAUAAUGAUCAAUUUCAACCAUGGAUUUAUCAGUUGGAGGACUGCAUACCCAGUAAUGUUUGGUAUUCCUCUGCUGCAAGUCGCUGCAAAGAAUUGUGAAGCAGUAUAUACGCAUGGAAAGCUGAUUCUGAAGUCUGACUGUAAUAACCACAUAUAAACAAAGGAUAAAAAAUAGAGGUCAAGCACGUGCCCACCACCCACUGCGGGCCCUGGUGCAACCGCACCUCGGAUAGCAACGCCAGUGGGGACAUAUAUGUUUUUGCAAAUGUUUUGGAAUGGGAUGGCCAACAAGCUCAAAUAGGUGUGACGGUCGGGUGUCCACAUACUUCUGGCCAUAUCCUGUAUGUGCACCGAUGGACACAACAUCAUCUUAUUGAUUCUGCUACGACAAACAUGCAAAAUAUUGUCUUCAACCAUUUCAUUUAAUAUUACUUAGUUAACAUAUUGUCUAUGAUGUGUGCUCUUAGUGAGAACUAUUACAGACCUCUGUAUUUCAAUGUGUGGCUGAUAUGUGAUUUACAUGUGCAUUUUGCCAGUACUGUACUGUACCCAAGCUCCAC